rnacentral:lncRNA from 1 species
CAGAAGUAAUGCCAUUGAAUCCAUCCUUGGAUCUAGGAGUGAAGAAUGGACAUUUGGGAGGGCUCCCACCGUCUUUGAUUUGCUUCGGAGUGGCGGGUCUGGAAGGCAUGGGGACCUUAAGUCGGGAGUCUGUGGGAUUCCCCUACAAAACUUGGACGGUGGUUGGUUGGAGGUCUUCAUGGGAGCCGCGGCUCGAGGUUUUGGAGACCGAGUUGCGGAGCGCAGGGACAGCAUAUCCAAGGGUGGCCUCAAUGCUGCCAUAGGCUUGGGGGCUUUUGAGAAGAACAUUGGGAUCUCCUGGCAGGACUCACAGGUCGUGGGAGGCAUUUCUGACCAUGGGGCCCUGCCUACAGCGGGG